UGUGUUGGCCUCUGCUGUUCCCGAAUAAAGCCAGUCUUGCUGGGGAAAUAACUGGCAGUUUUGUUUUUGAAGUUAACGCCCAGGCGGGGCAGCUCGGGAGUGCGUGAGAAGGGGCUGGGCUGAGGUCCUCCCAGUUCUGGCCAAGGGGACCUGAAGGACACCUGCUGGUGGGGGCAGGUGGUGUCCGCGGAAGUCUUCUUCACCCAGGGAAGGCGGCCGGUAGGAGGCGGUCCAAGCUCUUGCCCCGGCUGGGUGAUUUCGUGAUGCCUUCCCAGAGGAGCUGCUGCAAAGGCCUGCCCUGUGACCGGAUGCGCUCCGCACCCCUGCAGCCUUGUGACCUCCGACCCCUGUGGGCGAGGCACCUGCACUGAAGCCACUUCGGGCAGAGAUUCCGUCACAGGAAGCCGAAGUCACCCUCGCGGGUCCGUUUCGGAACAACCUAAAUAUCUCACCCGAGUAUGUCCCGUGCCUCCCCUCCCGUGGGGCCACGCACCCGUCCCACGGGGACCGGUUUUUGGCUUCCGCGGCCGCUGUGUUCCUGUGACUCCGGGCUGGGAAGAAGGGCCUCGUGGGAUUUCUGAAGGGGUCGAGAGGUGAUGCAGCAGCGCCUUGGCCGAUGUGGAGGCCACAUGUGAUGGCCGGAUCCCUCCGCGGCACCUCCGGGAUGGAAACCUCCGGAAGGCCAGGGAGCAGAAAGGGGGACACAAAGCCCUAAUCUUGUGGAGAAUCCGGGCUUGUUUACAUGAGAGAAUUUCAUUUUCCUUUUUCCCAGUCCCUAGGGUGGCAUUUUGUUCGUAGCGGAUUCACCGAUCCCCACCUGAUCGGGGGACACGCCGGCUGCACAGCUGCCCUGGGAAGGGGUCCCGGACACUUGUACCCCCCGCCCCCCACAGCUGCCGACCUAGGAGUGGGGCCCCUCACCUGCCCACGCUGACCCCUUCUCCGGCUCCCUCCGCGUCGACUGCGCAGACUCCCCAGUUCCCGGAGCUGGUCAGUGUCCUCGGGUCCCGGGGCCUCUGCCCGUGCCCCUCGGUCCCGGAGUGUCGGCUGCCGGGCGUCGCUUCCUCCGGGGUGCCCUCCCGCCCGCUAGCCGAGACCCCCUGACUUCACUGUCCCCCACGGUUGCCGUCGCGUCUGGGCCCGGUCGCCCUUCCCCAUGACGCUGAGCUGCCCGAAGCGAGCGGCCGCGUUCGUUCUCCCGCCACCGGCAGCGCCGAGCAGAGGCCCUUUCCGCCGUGUGAUCUCAGGCGGGCGCCGCGGCCACCACCAAAGCGGGGGAGACGGGACACCCUCCUGAAGAGCACGGAGAACGCUCGGGCCCCUGCCGGCGCGUGGCCUCCUCAUUGUCACAGCCCCGAGGCGGGUACACCAGUAACACCGGACUCUCUCCGCCUCUGUCCUCGCCGGCGGCUGGAGGACGUUCUCCCGCUUGGGACGUUCUCGGAGGUGGCGGGUGACAGAGCUUGCGGGUGGUGCCCCAGCCCGUCCGGUGUCCAGCGGGGGCUCGGGUCGCGCCCCCCUGGCCGCCCCCCUCCCUGGCCGCCGGCUGGAGAAGCCCUUCCCCUCCGGAGAGGAACGGGUGGGGGUCCUGUGUGGCUGGAGCCCACGGGUGAGGUUGUCCGGAAGGCCGCAGGGGGAGGGGCGGUGGUCAGGGUGGCUCGUGGACGGACUGUGGGCACAGUCUGAGAUGUACCUCAGGGGUCUGAGCCCGGCCCCAGAGGUCUUUUCCACAGCAAGGGGGACGGACGUCAGGGGUUGGUAGGUGGUUCCCAGAUGCUGCUGGUGUGGGUAGACCCCGAGAGAGAGACGGGGUCCCUGGGAAGACUGGAGGUGCAGAGCGGGAGCCCUGGGGCACAGCCCGACUGACCAGAAGGCAGAAGAGGGGCCGCCUGGGCCCGGCCAUGUGAGGGUGUAGGCGGGGUUCUCCUCGGCAUUACAGGCCUUCCUGUGUCUGGCCCGGAGGACGCCUGCUGCUGUUUGGGACCCCGCAGCCCUCCCAGCCGUGCACACUCCGGUGCGUCACUGCCCUGUUCAGACGCCCCUCGGGGCCUCGCACGGUGACGAGAACACGUUUUCUCACGGGGGCCACUCCCUGGCCUCGAGCACCCGGCUGGUGAGCCAGGCGUGGGGACCCCCAGCACCGGGCUCUGGGGCCCGUGCCCCACAGCCUCCCGGGAGUUCUGCGCGGGGCACUCAAGGAAUGGGUGCGGAUGUGCUGCCAGAAAUGCCCGGUAAUCAUCCGGAGAAGAAGGUGGGAAAUUGUCUGAGCAAACCUUGGAGCUGGGGGCGGGAGCAGAAAUGGGAGAUGACCUGUUUCUAAGGACCUCACGGUGGCAUGGGGACACCCAGAGGACAGAACGCUCCGAGGAUGCCGUCUGGACACAGGCUCAGGUGAGGGAGGCUGUGUCAUCUGCUGACGUCAUCUGCUGGCUGUGCCCCGCCCCUCCCCCUCGCGUUGACAAGGUGAAGGAAGGACCCUCCGCCUGAAGAAAGGGGGUGGGAACAGGUCCCACCCACACGGUGCCACAGCCCCGGCCUUCCUCUUCCUCUGCUGGUGCCAGGCCCCAUGUUCCUGUGAUCCGGGGCCCUUCCCCUGUCGCUGCGUCCCUUCCAGCACCUUCCCUUCGUGUCUCUCCGGGUGGCGGUCACCGCCUGGCGCUGCUCGGUAGUCGGUUUGGCUCCUUUGUCUGUGCCCCUGGCUGGUCAGGUCGGGGAGCAGGGCUUUGCCCGCCCUGUUCACGGCUACGUGUUCAACGCCUGGAGCCGUCCAUACGAUGGAUGCCAAAAAGUAAUUUCUAAUGAAUGAAUUGUCGCUUCACGUUCAGCCUAAGAAGCUGCUGGAGACCGGAGUUUCAGGGCCCGCAAAUGAACGCCGAUCCCGCCGGCCACAGGCUUCCCACCGAUGCUGGCCGCGGCGUGAGAGCGGUGUUCCCACGUGCUGGGGGCCGGACCGCUGUGGCCGGCCACGUGGCCAUCCAGGGGACACCUGGUCCCCGCACGCACGGAUCCUGGCAGAUUAUCCACAUGCUGUCUGAAAGGUCGAGAAAGGGGCAGUCGGACAGAAGGAAACCGAAUCCGGGCCCAUGAAGCCGUGCGUGCCAAGGAAAAGUGAGAAUUUCCAGCAAGAAGAGGAGGGGAGACCAUAGCCCCGCACAUACCUUCAUUUAGACUUCCAGCCUCCACACGAGUGAGGACCCAUUCUGUUGCUUCGAGCCAUCUAGUCUGUGGUAGUUUGUUUACAGUGGCCUUAGUAAACAAAUACACGUAUAAUCCUAAUUUAAAAUAAAAAAAAAUAGUGUGCACUAGA